rnacentral:rRNA from 1 species
UGGGGAAUUUCGGACAAUGGGCGCAAGCCUGAUCCAGCCAUGCCGCGUGCGGGAAGAAGGCCUUCGGGUUGUAAACCGCUUUUGUCAGGGAAGAAAUCUUCUGAGUUAAUACCUCGGGAGGAUGACGGUACCUGAAGAAUAAGCACCGGCUAACUACGUGCCAGCAGCCGCGGUAAUACGUAGGGUGCAAGCGUUAAUCGGAAUUACUGGGCGUAAAGCGUGCGCAGGCGGUUUUGUAAGACAGAGGUGAAAUCCCCGGGCUCAACCUGGGAACUGCCUUUGUGACUGCAAGGCUUGAGUGCGGCAGAGGGGGGAUGGAAUUCCGCGUGUAGCAGUGAAAUGCGUAGAUAUGCGGAGGAACACCGAUGGCGAAGGCAAUCCCCUGGGCCUGCACUGACGCUCAUGCACGAAAGCGUGGGGAGCAAACAGGAUUAGAUACCCUGGUAGUCCACGCCCUAAACGAUGUCAACUGGUUGUUGGGAAGGUUCCUUCUCAGUAACGUAGCUAACGCGUGAAGUUGACCGCCUGGGGAGUACGGCCGCAAGGUUGAAACUUAAAUGAAUUGACGGGGU